rnacentral:misc_RNA from 1 species
UACGCGGACGCGGAUGAUUUUAGUCGUUGCCGCGCCGCCGUCAGCGACGUUGCCAAAACCGGCGCCGACGACGCCGACGCAUUGUUACGAUUUAAAGUGCGCGCCGACGACGACGCCGCCGUCGUCGACUUUUUAAAUCAAAUUAAUAUUAUGAUCGACGUAUUUAUUCAAGCCAGUUUUAUGCAUGUUGUUAUUUAAUAGGAUAUAUAUAUAUAGAUGCUCGAUUUUUUUAGGGAAUGUUCAGAUACCUGCUAUAUCAAAGGCCAGUAAUUGCAAACAGUACCAGUAUCACUAUUUCCUUAGAAUCAUAAACUAAACGUUCACCAGAUUUCAAAUCGCGUGUUUUGUGUUUAUUUUUUUUUUGACUCGAGUGCCUCAGGAACAAGUUAAAAAAACAGAUCGGGACAGGAUUCUUAUGGUUUUCAUGGACGAAUGUCAGACCGACUCGACCAGGUGGAUCGGGGCACCUCGUCCAGGUGUUCCUAUGUCUCCUACGGCCCCAGAGGCAGAAGGACCACCGGUGCAAAUGGAGCCGGUCGAUCUUAGCGUUAAGACGUCCCCGACGAAACCGAGAACCCCACCGCAAAAGUUGAGGAAUCCUGCACCGGCAGGGAAAAUACAUAAACCACCUGAUAUUCCGAAACAUACACUUCUACCAACAUCGCCAGACAUCAGCCUAGCUCUUGCCGCCGACCCUACUAGAUCUCUAACAUCCACUGCUGCCCUUUUAGCUUUACAGAGGAUAAAAGACGCUGCAUCCAUAUCGCUCAGUAUAACACCGUCGCCUUUACCACCGUCGUCACCAACAACAAAAUCAACAGUGAGCAACAACAACACGUCGUUGAUCAACAACAACACGAUCUACGACGACAUUAAGCCGACGAUGCCCGAGGUGACCAUACGAAGACGAAAAAUCCAUCGGUGUGACGUGGCGGGGUGUCACAAGGUCUACACGAAGAGUUCCCAUUUGAAGGCUCAUAAAAGAACUCAUACAGGUGAGAAACCGUAUCAAUGUUCCUGGGAGGGUUGCACGUGGAAAUUCGCCAGAUCCGACGAGCUGACCAGGCAUUACAGGAAACACACCGGCCAGAAACCGUUCAGUUGCAAUCUGUGUCAACGGUCGUUUAGUAGGUCCGAUCAUCUUUCGUUGCACAUGAAGCGACAUUGACUGUACAGAAUGUGUUCAAAAAAAACUAAUGUAUCCAUCAAUAAUCGGUUAUAUGUGUGAGACAUUUGCAUUACAGAAUAUUCUGCCAUUAGGCACCCCAUAUUCAAGAGGGACAAUUAUCUACUGCCAGUACCAAGCUCUCAAAUAUUUUUUUAUGAUUAUAGUCUUUGCCCCCAUACAAACGUUUCUUGAUACCCAAUAAUAAGGAAAACAUGUAUGGUAGCGAAAACCAUGAAACAUAAAUCAAAGAAUUCAGAGUUCGUUCGUUCGUUCUCUCCUGCACCUGUCUCGCAAAUCCGACUUAAAGAAGCCGAAGCGAUUCGAAAAUGACAUAAUCACGCACACACGAGCUACCGCAUAAAUAACGUCGAUAUUUAAAAAAAAAAUAACGAAAGCGUGAUUUCGAUAUUGGAAACAUGUGCAGUCACGAUCGGAUAUCUGAACAGCAAAAAAAAUAAACAUCUAUUGACAUAUUGUGGUAGAAGCGUGUCUACAAUGAUGGCACAUAUACGAUUUUGGUUAGUAAAUGUUGUCAUAAGCGUUUGUACAGUCAGGACAGGCUUCCUAUUUUAAACACUGUUAGUCGGUUCAGCAGUAGAAUCCUCAAAAUCAAAAUUGACAAUAUCUAGCAUCGAAAUAUAUAUAUUUCCCAAAUAUGGCAAUAAUGAGUUCUUUAGGUUUUACUAUGCAGAACAUUUUUUAAAUAGUUUGCAGGAUGUAUCAUAAAUUUGAGCAUAUUAUCUAUGGAUCAAAUGAAUGAUAUUUUAUAAGCAGAUUUUAGAACAGGAAUCAUAGUAAUCGGAGCAUUAGAACGCGAGUUAUGGACCUGAGAAUCCAAGACAAUUUUUUCAGUUUUGCUUUAUUGAGAUGCCACCUACAAAAAUGUUAAUUAAAAAUUAAUUAUUGCAGGGAUUUAGAUGAAAUUUCAUGGAAGUGUUAAGGAAAGUCUCGUAAUUAAUUUAAAAUAGAAAUCAUGAAUAUCGAAGCAUCAGAACGUAAGUUAUAAGGUAGGGAACCCAAAACAAUUUUUCCAGUUUUGCUUUAACAUCUACAAAAAUAUUAAUAAGAAAUUGAUUAUUACAGGGAUUUGAAUCAAAUUUGGUGAAGAUAUUAAGGAAAAUCCCGACAUUAUUUUAAAGCAUAAAUCAUAGAUAUUGGAGCGUUAGGAGGCGAGUUAUAAACUAGAGAACCCAAAACAAUUUUUUCAGUUUUUCUUUAUCGGGACGCCACCUACAAAAAUGUCAAUUAAAAAUGAAUUAUUUCAGCGAUUUGAUUAAAAUUUCAUGGAGAUGUUAAGGAAAGUCUCGAAAUUAAUUUAAAGCAGAAAUCAUGAAAAUCGGAGCUUUAGAACGCGAGUUAUCAACCUAAGAACCCAAGACAAUUUUUCCAGUUUUGCUUUAUCGGGACGCCACUUACAAAAAUGUUAAUAAAAAAUUAAUUAUUACAGGGUUUUGGAUGAAACUUCGUGGAGAUCUUAAGGAAAGUCCCAAAAUUAUUGUAAAGCAUAAAUUAUGGAAAUCGAAGCAUUAGAAGACGAGUUAUAAACUAGAGAACCCAAAACAAUUUUUUCAGUUUUUCUUUAUCGAGACGCCACCUACAAAAAUGUUAAUUAAAAAUGAAUUAUUUCAGCGAUUUAAUUAAAAUUUCAUGGAGAUGUUAAGGAAAGUCUCGAAAUUAAUUUAAAGCAGAAAUCAUGAAAAUCGGAGCUUUAGAACGCGAGUUAUCAAACUACGGAACCCAAAACAAUGUUUUCAGUUUUGCUUUAACAUCUACAAAAAUGUUUAUAAGAAAUUGAUUAUUACAGGGAUUUGAAUCAAAUUUGGUGAACAAAGGGGAGGAGAAAGUAAACUCAAAGUCCAAGUCUCAUAGUCAAGCGUCUAUUUAAAUGUUACGCGUUUCGCCGCAUUAGGACAUCAUCAGACCUAUUUAAAUACAAAAAACUGCACACUGACUCACACUAACAUAAAAAUAAAAUAAAAUAAGUUUAUACCAUCGUGUAUCGUUAUUGACUAUACACGAUGUACGCGUAACCUUUAAAUAGACGCUUGAUUAUGAGACUUGGACUUUGAGUUUACUUUCUCCUCCCCUUUGUUCAUAUACUUAAGUCUCUUUGGGAAUGAUGGAUGAUUAUUUUGAAAUUCGGUGAAGAUAUUAAGGAAAGUCCCGAAAUUAUUUAAAAGCAUAAAUCAUGGAAAUCGGAGCAUUAGAAGGCGAGUUAUAAACUAGACAACCCAAAACAAUUUUGUCAGUUUUUCUUUAUCGGGACGCCACCUACAAAAAUGUUAAUUAAAAAUGCAUUAUUGCAGCGAUUUGAUUAAAAUUUCAUGGAGAUGUUAAGGAAAGUCUCAAAAUUAAUUUAAAGCAGAAAUCAUGAAAAUCGGAGCUUUAGAACGCGAGUUAUCAAUCUAAGAACCGAAAAUAAUUUUUCCAGUUCUGCUUUAUCGGGAUGCCACUUACAAAAAUGUUAAUAAAAAAUUAAUUAUUACAGGGAUUGGGAUGAAACUUCAUGAAGAUGUUAAGGAAAGUCUCGUAAUUAAUUUAAAGCAGAAAUCGUGGAAAUCGAAGCAUCAGAACACGAAUUACAUACCAAUGAACCAAAAUAAAUUUUCCAGUUUUACUUUAUUAAGGCGUCACUACAAAAAUUUGAAUAAAAAAUUAGUUAUUACAGGGACUUAAAUGAAAUUUCAUAGAGUUAUUAAGGAAAGUUUCAUCAUUAAUUUAAAAGAGAAAUCAUAGAAAUUGGAGCAUUAGAACACGGGUUAUAGACCAGAGAAGCCAAAACAAUUUUUCUAGUUUUGCUUUGUAUAUUGUGUCUUUUUCAGAUCUGCAUGAUCUCUACGGCACAGCUCAAGAACAAAUACCAUCCACUUCUUCAGAUGCGGAUGGCAUGUGUCAUCAACUUCUUCAGAUGUGGAUGGCAUGUGUCACAGAAACGUGGUAAGAUAACUACUGUUAAUUAAAAAUGAAUUAUUGCAGGGAUUUAGAUGAAAUUUCAUGGAGGUGUUAAGGAAAAUUUCGUAAUUAAUUUAAAGCAGAAAUCAUGAAAAUCGAAGCAUCAGAACGCAAGUUAUGAGGUAGGGAACCCAAAACAAUUUUUUCAGUUUUUCUUUAUCGAGACGCCACCUACAAAAAUGUCAAUUAAAAAAUAAUUAUUUCAGUGAUUUGAUUAAAAUUUCAUGGAGAUGUUAAGGAAAGUCUCGAAAUUAAUUUAAAGCAGAAAUCAUGAAAAUCGGAGCUUUAGAACGCGAGUUAUCAACCUAAGAACCCAAGACAAUUUUUCCAGUUUUGCUUUAUCGGGACGCCAUCUACAAAAAUAUUAAUAAAAAAUGAAUUAUUACAGCGAUUUGAAUGAAACUUUAUGGAGAUGUUAAUAAAAUCUCAAGAUUAAUUUAAAGCAGAAAUCAUGAAAAUCGAAGCAUCAGAUCACGAGUUAUAAACCAAUGAACCUAAAACAAUUUUUCCAGUUUUACUUUAUUAAAGCAUCACUUACAAAAAUUUUAAUAAAAAAAUUAGUUCGGUCAGGUCCAUUAGAGAUUGGACCCUGCGGAUUACAAGCCCAAUAAUCGGUCGUCAUUAGUUGCGGUCCGUAACCUAAAGUUUCUUAAAGUCUCAUAAGUCACACUUGAUAAUGCAAUCCCCGUGCCUGAUAUGAAUUGGUGCGAUUGCAGACAUCACAGCCAAGUUACACCCUUUAACGGGUGAAUCACGGAUGACACGAAAAAAAUUAGUUAUUACAGGGACUUAAAUGAAAUUUCAUAGAGUUAUUAAGGAAAGUUUCGUCAUUAAUUUAAAACAGAAAUCAUAGAAAUAGAAGCAUUAGAACACGAGUUAUAGGCCAGAGAACCCAAAGCAAUUUUUCCAGUUUUGUUUUAUUGGGAUGUCAUUUACAAAAAUAUUAAUAAGAAAUUAAUUAUUACAGGGAUUUGAAUCAAAUUUGGUGAAGAUAUUAAGGAAAGUCCCGAAAUUAUUUUAAAGCAUAAAUCAUGGAAAUCGGAGCAUUAGAAGGCGAGUUAGAAACUAGAGAACCCAAAACAAUUUUUUCAGUUUUUCUUUAUCGGGACGCCACCUACAAAAAUGUUAACUAAAAAUGAAUUAUUCCAGGGAUUUGAUUAAAAUUUCAUGGAGAUGUUAAGGAAAGUCUCGAAAUUAAUUUAAAGCAGAAAUCAUGAAAAUUGAAGCAUUAAAACGCGAGUUAUAGACCUGAGAACCCAAGACAAUUUUUCCAGUUCUGCUUUAUCGGGAUGCCACUUACAAAAAUGUUAAUAAAAAAUUAAUUAUUACAGGGAUUUGGAUGAAACUUCAUGGAGAUGUUAAAAAAAGUCUCGAAAUUAAUUUAAAGUAGAAAUCGUGGAAAUCGGAGCAUUGGAACACGAGUUAUAAGCCAAUGAACCCAAAACAAUAUUUCCAGUUUUACUUCAUUAAAGCGUCACUUACAAACAUUUGAAUAAAAAAUUAGUUAUUCCAGGGAUUUGAAUGAAAUUUUGUACAUAUGUUAAGGAAAGUCCCAAAAUUAAUUUAAAGUGGAAAUCAUAGAAAUUGAAGCAUUAGAACGCGAGUUAUGGACCUGAGAACCCAAAACAAAUUUUUCAGUUUUGCUUUAUCGGGACGCCAUCUACAAAAAUAUUAAUAAAAAAUGAAUUAUUACAGGGAUUUGGAUGAAAUUUCAUGGAGAUGUUAAAAAAAGUCUCGAAAUUAAUUUAAAGCAGAAAUCAUGAAAAUCGGAGCUUUAGAACGCAAGUUAUUAAUCUAAGAACCCAAGACAAUUUUUGCAGUUUUGCUUUAUCGGGACGCCACUUACAAAAAUGUUAAUAGAAAAUUAGUUAUUGCAGGGAUUUGAAUGAAAUUUCAUACAGAUAUUAAGGAAAGUCCCAAAAUUAAUUUAAAGUAGAAAUCAUAGAAAUUGAAGCAUUAGAACGCGAGUUAUGGACUUGUGAACCCAAAACAUUUUUUUCAGUUUUGCUUUAUCGGGACGCCAUCUACAAAAAUAUUAAUAAAGAAUUAUUUAUUCGAGGGACUUGAAUGAAAUUUUAUAGAGAUAUUAAGAAAAGUUCCAGAAUUAAUUUAAAGCAGAAAUCAUAAAAAUCGGAGCAUGAGAACGCGAGUUAUAGACUAGAGAACCCAAAACAGUUUUUUCAGUUUUUCUUUAUCGGGACCCCACCUACAAAAAUGUUAAUUAAAAAUGAAUUAUUGCAGGGAUUUAGAUGAAAUUUCAUGGAGGUGUUAAGGAAAAUCUCGUAAUUAAUUUAAAGUAGAAAUCAUAAAAAUCGAAGCAUCAGAACGUAAGUUAUAAGGUAGGGAACCCAAAAUAAUUUUUCCAGUUUUGCUUUAACAUCUACAAAAAUAGAGAAAAAAAAAUGAAAACUCCAAGUCUUAGUCUCAAAAUGUCUUUUUAAUUAUUCAGGUGACAUGUUUCGCUAAUGAAGCAUCAUCAGACCUACAAUAAACAGAAAAACACACGUAACUACAAUAAAACCUUACACUAAAACAAAAUCAAAUAUUAAAAAUUAAAUAAAAUUACCUUAUAGCUAGAUGACCUGCUAAGUACUGAUAAAUAUAAUUUAAAUAUGAGAAUACCCACAUAUUUUGUAAUAAAAAACAAUAACACGGUACAAAAAUUCAACAAAAAAUAUAAAAAGGGAAAAACGUGACAGGUGUAUGAUUUGAUCUACAAAAAUGUUAAUAGGAAAUUGAUUAUUACAGGGAUUUAAAUCACAUUUGGUGAAGAUAUUAAGGAAAGUUCCGAAAUUAUUUUAAAGCAUAAAUCAUGGAAAUCGGAGCAUUAGAAGGCGAGUUAGAAACUAGAGAACCCAAAACAAUUUUUUCAGUUUUUCUUUAUCGGGACGCCACCUACAAAAAUGUUAAUUAAAAAUGAAUUAUUGCAGGGAUUUGGAUGAAAUUUCAUGGAGAUGUUAAAAAAAGUCUUGUAAUUAAUGUAAAGCAGAAAUCAUGAAAAUCGAAGCAUCAGAACGCAAGUUAUAUAUAAGGGAUUUGAAUCAAAUUUGGUGAAGAUAUUAAGGAAAGUCCCGAAAUUAUUUUAAAGCAGAAAUCAUGAAAAUCGGAGCUUUAGAACGCGAGUUAUCAACCUAAGAACCCAAGACAAUUGUUCCAGUUUUGCUUUAUCGGGACGCCACUUACAAAAAUGUUAAUAGAAAAUUAAUUAUUGCCGGGAUUUGACCGAAAUUUCAUAGAGACGUUAAGGAAAGUCCCAGAAUUAAUUUAAAAUAAAAACCAUGGAAAGCGGAACAUUAGAACGCGAGUUAUAGACCAGAGAACCCAGUACAAUUUUCUCAAUUCUACUUUAAUAAGGCAUUCACUUACAAAAAUGUGAAUAAAAAAUUAGUUAUUACAGAGACUUGAAUGAAACUUCAUAACAAUGUUAAGGAAAGUCCCGAAAUUAAUUUAAAGUAGAAAUUAUGGAAAUUGGAGCAUUAGAACGUGAGUUAUAGCCCUGAGAAUUCAAAACAAUUUUUCUAGUUUUACUUUAUAUUGCUCCCUCUAAUUUAAAACCAUUUACUUCUUUGGAAUGUAGCCAAUAUUCAGUGAGACAUAAGAAAUCAAAAUUUUGUUCAACUAAAAAUGUUUCGAAUUGAUGGUUUUUAGUUCUAAUUAACAGAAUUGCCUCUUUUGAGACAUUAAAGUUUUCACCUAUUUAUCUUUACACCUUUAGACAAUAGGUUCGCCUUCAUAACUAAGAUGCUAUUUACUAUAGCGGGUAUUCCGAUUUUAAAUGAACACACCUGUUCUCAUAUUUAAUUUAAAGUAAUUCAGAUAAAGAUUUGCGUAUAUCAUUUUCACAAAGAUACCUGUUAGGAAGUACCUACUAGAAGUUUACAAACUUAAUAGGAAAAACCAUGCUUAAAAAGUCUAUUUUCUUCUUCUUUUCUAUAGAGAUAGCUAUCUAUUUUCUAAAUUAAUUUUUACUAUAUAUAAAAGUGACAUACAAAAUAAGUAACUCAUGCAUAAUCCUCAUUACUAACUGCCUGAACUUCAGUAAUGUUUGCGGAAUUAAUAAGUUACCACACAAUAGCAAGUCAUAUAUAACAUUGUACUUGAAUUCUACGUAGGAAUACUCUGAGGCAGAAUAUUCAGGGUCUUAAAAUUUACUAAUUCAUGAUACGUCCUGCAUAACCCAAUUACACGGCGCAAAUUGCGAUAAACGAAAUGAAUUUUAUGACAUUUCCUGAACAUUCCUAGUAGCUAGUUAAUUUUACGUUGUAAUGUAUAAUUUUAAGAAAUCGGAACACGGUGCCAGUAGCAAUGUGAACAUUUUUUUUUUACUUUAUAGUGUAAUUAGUAUGUUUAAGUUUUUUUUUUUUAAUUGUAAUUUGUUGUCAAAGUAGGAGAUUUUUGUUUUUGUUUUUCAAAAAAUGUAAAUUUGUAGAUAUGUACGUAAAUUCUUUGCGGCAGUACGAUCCAACAAGCUGGAAUAGAAAUUUCAGUUCAGUGAUAUGUAACAUGUUCAGUCAGUGUUAUCUUAAGCAAAUAUGUAUUUUGUUUUAUAAUUUAAAAUAUAGAAGAAAAAAGGCGUUGGAAAUUAAGUCUUAAGCAAGAACCUGGUGGCAAUUAAGCAAAAUUUUGCAAGCCAUAGACAUCUUUUAUCUCUCUUGGUUACCAUGUUUAUAAAUGCUUGUUUAAUACUUUAAAACACUGUAUUAAUGACACAACUGGCUGAAGAUGUUGACAUGCUUCAUAAGCGCUUAAUUUAAUUAAAGUUUUUUGGACCGCACUGCUUAUAUUUGCAUAAAAUUCAUUUGUAUAUAUAAUAUUUUGGUAAACUUUGUGAUAAAACAAAAAAACAAA